AGUAAAACGCUCGCUUUGCCCGCGAAGUGCUCGAGAUUCGAUUCCCCGCACCCCUAGUUAACAUUAUAUUAUAUACCCAUGUGAAAGUUGAUUUUUCUUUUCACUCUUUUUUCCAAAAUUUCUGCAGUUCAAGUAAAAAUAGAAUGUAAGUCGGGGCUGUAGCUCAGUGCUAGAACGUUCGUUUCGCAUGCGAAAAACCCGACGUUUGAUUCCCUGCACUUCCAAACAACAUUCUCCAUUCGCGUGCAAGUUAAUAAGAUGUUAUGUGUUUUUUAUUUUGUUCUUUUUUUUCCAAAAUUUCUGCAGUAUUUUACAAGUAAGAAAAAAAGGCACAUCGCAGGUUUAGCUCAGUGGUAGAGUGUUCACUUUGCAUGCAAAAACCUCGGAGUUCGAAUUCCUGCAUUUCCAGUCUGCAUUCGUGUGCGAGUUAGUAAGAUGCUAUGUGCUUUUGUUCCUGUCUUUGUUUUCGAAAUUUCUCCAAUGUUUUACAGGUGAUUCACCAUAACAAUGAUGAGUCAGAAACAAACUAAGACUGAUGGAAGAAGUUCCUCACCAUCUUUUGAGCAUCAUCAAUAGGAUCUGUUCAAGAUGGAUUGAAAUCACCUUAGCAUCUAUAAUUUUUCAUCAUUAACUAAGAAACGAUUCAUCACAGAAGAAGAUUUUCCUGAGAAUAUAUGUUUCUGGCCAACUCAUAUUGCGAAUUCGAAGUCUCUGUUUAGGUCAUCUUUCUUAAUGCUUGCAAAGUUGAAACUUACUUUUUGUGUGCAGAUACAGACGUUCAUUUUCAUGCGUACUACGUUUAGACUGCUUACGGAAAUAGUUAGCGAAUAAUAUUGAUAAAUGCUUCGUUUCUUGCAAUUUUCAGACAACCAUUAUGGUAUUUGCCAUGUAGUGAACCCACCUCAUUGAUGUUUUAAAACAUGUUUAUAAGACUGUGAAUGAUAAAUUUGCUUUCUUGGGAUUAUGAAUAUUAAAUUCAUUAACAACAGUA